rnacentral:lncRNA from 10 species
CAGAAACAUAAUGGAAUUCAUUCAAGGUCAAGGAGCUAGUUAAAAACGUGAAAAUUGUCAGAAUUAAAAUGGAGGCAAUUGUGUUAAAAAUCCUGACAGAUGGAGCUCGGGAAAGCAAUGAAGAAAGGGUUCCCAUUCACGAAUGCCUGACAACAGGAAUUGUCAGAAAAGACUGCAAAACCACAACCUUGCACAAAGGCCAUUGCAACCUUGCACAAAAAAAAAUACUUCUGCAAGGAUAUCUGCCCAGCAACUGCCUAUCUGACUUCAAACUGGUGCCAUCCUUAUUAUUGAUCCUUGUAACCAGGAAUAAUUAUCUCGAAAUAAUUGUGUACUCCUCUUCAUUUUUCUUUAAAAACCAUUGCCUUUCUUUACCCUCCUGAAUAAGCACAUAGUUUACUACGGUAUGUGUAUUCCCAUUGCAGUACCCAUGCUAAAUAAAUAUCAUUUUCUUUCAGAGUGCUUAUUAUUUAGAUUAAUAAAAGCAACGAGGACCAGAACCAAAUAAGGUCUCCUUAAUUUUAGCCCAAUUAUUUUCAAAGUAACUCCUCAUUCCAAAUCCCCUUCUCAACCUACUUCCCUAUUCAAAUGCUUGACAGACAUUGAUGUGAGGGUGACAGCAAACAGGCAGGCAAGACAGAAAAGGCAGUAAGAGACAGAAGCAAUAGAUAGAGCUUAAAAUGGUAAAGCUCACGAUCGCUUACUCAGGAUUCAAUAUGAUUCACUGAUUUCUACAGAAGGGACAUGGGUGCGUCUGACGGAUUGAACGGGAACAUUGAUGCAAUGAGUAGCAAGUCUGAACAGGGCUGAACCAAAUCCAUCCAUCCAUGUCUGACCAGUUUCUCUUCUAGGUUAAGGGUUAGUUCCAGUCUUUGCCACAACUCCUCUUCCUCUUUUGUUCCAGAAAGUCAAAGCUCUGCAGUUAAGAAGAAAAAUACACCACUGAAACUUUCAGAUGCCUUGAGACAAGAUUCUUCUUCCAGAAUUCUAGUAUCAUUCCAAGGCUGGACUCUUCAGAAGUGAUUGCCUGCAAAUUUAGGAUGAGAACAAAAUCACAGUUCAAGGUUCUCCAGAAAAACAGACCCAAUAGGAUAUAUGGAGAGAUAUAUAAGAAGGAAUUUUUUACGAAAAUUGGCUCGUGAGAUUAUGGAGGCCAUGAAGUCCUACAAUAUGCUCUCUGUGAUCUGGAGAAUCAGGAAAACUG